GAUGAAGAACGCAGCGAAAUGCGAUACGUAAUGUGAAUUGCAGAAUUCAGUGAAUCAUCGAAUCUUUGAACGCAUAUUGCGCUCUUUGGUAUUCCGAAGAGCAUGCUUGUUUGAGUAUCAGUAAACACCUCAAAGACUUCAAUUUGUUUUGAAUGGCUUUGGACUUGAGCAAUCCCAACACCAGUCUUUACGAUCGGUGGAGGGUUGCUUGAAAUGCAGGUGCAGCUGGACAUUCUCCUGAGCUAAAAGCAUAUUUAUUUAGUCCCGUCAAACGGAUUAUUACUUUUGCUGCAGCUAACAUAAAGGGAGUUUGACCGUAUUGGCUGACUAAUGCAGGAUUUCACAAGGGUCGGCAACGAUUCUUGUAAAACUCGAUCUCAAAUCAAGUAAGACUACCCGCUGAACUUAAGCAUAUCAAUAAGCGGAGGA
rnacentral:misc_RNA from 1 species